GCUGGGGGUGGAUGAGUGGCGAACGGGUGAGUAACACGUGAGUAACCUGCCCCGAACUCUGGGAUAAGCGCUGGAAACGGCGUCUAAUACUGGAUAUGUCCUAUCACCGCAUGGUGUGUAGGUGGAAAGAAUUUCGGUUCGGGAUGGACUCGCGGCCUAUCAGCUAGAUGGUGAGGUAAUGGCUCACCAUGGCGACGACGGGUAGCCGGCCUGAGAGGGUGACCGGCCACACUGGGACUGAGACACGGCCCAGACUCCUACGGGAGGCAGCAGUGGGGAAUAUUGCACAAUGGGCGCAAGCCUGAUGCAGCAACGCCGCGUGAGGGAUGACGGCCUUCGGGUUGUAAACCUCUUUUAGUAGGGAAGAAGCGAAAGUGACGGUACCUGCAGAAAAAGCACCGGCUAACUACGUGCCAGCAGCCGCGGUAAUACGUAGGGUGCAAGCGUUGUCCGGAAUUAUUGGGCGUAAAGAGCUCGUAGGCGGCUUGUCGCGUCUGCUGUGAAAACCAGAGGCUCAACCUCUGGCCUGCAGUGGGUACGGGCAAGCUAGAGUGCGGUAGGGGAGAUUGGAAUUCCUGGUGUAGCGGUGGAAUGCGCAGAUAUCAGGAGGAACACCGAUGGCGAAGGCAGAUCUCUGGGCCGUAACUGACGCUGAGGAGCGAAAGCAUGGGGAGCGAACAGGAUUAGAUACCCUGGUAGUCCAUGCCGUAAACGUUGGGAACUAGAUGUAGGGCCUGUUCCACGGGUUCUGUGUCGUAGCUA
rnacentral:rRNA from 1 species